AGCGGUGAAAUGCGUAGAGAUCUGAAAGGAAUACCGGUGGCGAAGGGCGGGCCCCCUGGACAGAUACUGACACUCAGAUGCGAAAGCGUGGGGAGCAAACAGGAUUAGAUACCGUGGUAGUCCACGCCGUAAACGAUGUCUACUUGGAGGUUGUGGCCUUGAGCCGUGGCUUUCGGAGCUAACGCGUUAAGUAGACCGCCUGGGGAGUACGGUCGCAAGAUUAAAACUCAAAUGAAUUGACGGGGGCCCGCACAAGCGGUGGAGCAUGUGGUUUAAUUCGAUGCAACGCGAAGAACCUUACCUACUCUUGACAUCCACAGAAUCCUGCGGAGACGCGGGAGUGCCUUCGGGAACUGUGAGACAGGUGCUGCAUGGCUGUCGUCAGCUCGUGUUGUGAAAUGUUGGGUUAAGUCCCGCAACGAGCGCAACCCUUAUCCUUGUUUGCCAGCGAGUAAUGUCGGGAACUCCAGGGAGACUGCCGGUGAUAAACCGGAGGAAGGUGGGGACGACGUCAAGUCAUCAUGGCCCUUACGAGUAGGGCUACACACGUGCUACAAUGGCGCAUACAGAGGGCAGCGAACUUGCGAGAGUAAGCGAAUCCCAAAAAGUGCGUCGUAGUCCGGAUUGGAGUCUGCAACUCGACUCCAUGAAGUCGGAAUCGCUAGUAAUCGUGAAUCAGAAUGUCACGGUGAAUACGUUCCCGGGCCUUGUACACACCGCCCGUCACACCAUGGGAGUGGGCUGCAAAAGAAGCACGG
rnacentral:rRNA from 1 species